AGGAUAAACGCUGGCGGCGUGCCUAACACAUGCAAGUCGAACGUCCUACGCAAGUAGGGAGUGGCGGACGGGUGAGUAACACGUGGGCAAUCUACCUUUCGGUGAGGAAUACCGGCGAGAAAUCGCCGACAAUACCGCAUACGCUUCGCAAGAAGCAAAGUCGCAAGACGCCGGAGGAGGAGCCUGCGCCCGAUUAGCUGGUUGGUGAGGUAAGAGCUCACCAAGGCGACGAUCAUUAGCUGGUCUGAGAGGAUGACCAGCCAGACUGGGACUGAGAACGGCCCAGACUCCUACGGGAGGCAGCAGUAGGGAAUUUUCCACAAUGGGCGAAAGCCUGAUGGAGCAACGCCGCGUGCAGGAUGAAUGCCUUCGGGUUGUAAACUGCUUUUAUAUGUGACGAUUAUGACGGUAGCAUAUGAAUAAGGAUCGGCUAACUCCGUGCCAGCAGCCGC
rnacentral:rRNA from 1 species